rnacentral:rRNA from 1 species
UACGAAGGGGGCUAGCGUUGUUCGGAAUUACUGGGCGUAGAGCGCACGUAGGCGGAUUGUUAAGUUAGAGGUGAAAUCCCGGAGCUCAACUUCGGAACUGCCUUUGAUACUGGCAAUCUCGAGUCCGGAAGAGGUUAGUGGAAUUCCCAGUGUAGAGGUGAAAUUCGUAGAUAUUGGGAAGAACACCAGUGGCGAAGGCGGCUAACUGGUCCGGUACUGACGCUGAGGUGCGAAAGCUGGGGGAGCGAACAGG